CGGGGCGUGGCCUAGCUUGGCUUAGGGCACUUGAAUGGGGUUCAAGGGGUCGGAGGUUCGAAUCCUCUCGCCCCGA
rnacentral:tRNA from 1 species